GGGAAUGUAACUUAGUUGGAGAGUGCUUGCCUAGCAUGCAUGAAGCCCUGGGUUCAAUUCCUCAGUACCA
rnacentral:tRNA from 1 species